rnacentral:rRNA from 1 species
AACGAACGCUGGCGGCAGGCUUAACACAUGCAAGUCGAACGGGCGUAGCAAUACGUCAGUGGCAGACGGGUGAGUAACACAUGGGAACCUUCCUCGUAGUACGGAACAACUCAGGGAAACUUGAACUAAUACCGUAUACGUCCGAGAGGAGAAAGAUUUAUCGCUAUGAGACGGGCCCGCGUCCGAUUAGGUAGUUGGUGGGGUAACGGCCUACCAAGCCGACGAUCGGUAGCUGAUCUGAGAGGAUGAUCAGCCACACUGGGACUGAGACACGGCCCAGACUCCUACGGGAGGCAGCAGUGGGGAAUCUUGGACAAUGGGCGCAAGCCUGAUCCAGCCAUGCCGCGUGAGUGAAGAAGGCCUUAGGGUUGUAAAGCUCUUUUGCCAGGGACGAUAAUGACGGUACCUGGAGAAUAAGCCCCGGCAAACUUCGUGCCAGCCGCCGCCGUAAAAC